AAUGAACGCUGGCGGCGCGCCUAAUGCAUGCAAGUCGAGCGAGAAGACGUAGCAAUACGUUUGUAAAGCGGCGAACGGGUGAGGAAUACAUGGGGUAACCUACCCUCGAGUGGGGAAGUAACUAGCCGAAAGGUUAGCUAAUACCGCGUACGCUUCUUGGACUUCGGUUCAGGGAGGGAAAGCGAUGCCGAGGGUAUCGCGCUCUUGGAUGGGCUCAUGUCCUAUCAGCCUGNGGUUGAGGUAACGGCUCACCAAGGCUUCGACGGGUAGCUGGUCUGAGAGGACGAUCAGCCACACUGGCACUGCGACACGGGCCAGACUCCUACGGGAGGCAGCAGUAAGGAAUAUUGCGCAAUGGGCGAAAAGACCUGACGCAGCGACGCCGCGUGGGGGAG
rnacentral:rRNA from 1 species